rnacentral:snRNA from 1 species
AUCUUUGUGCUCGGGCACGCGAUGGCGACGUUGAAGGAAACUGAGUCCCAUCUAAUUGCUGGUUGCAAACUAAAUUCCACACUCUUCACUGCACUCUUCGGAGUCUUUGGGAAUUUCUGCCCGCCUAACGGCG